UCUUAGCUUGCUAAGGCCGAUGGCGACCGGCGCACGGGUGAGUAACACGUAUCCAACCUGCCGUCUACUCUUGGACAGCCUUCUGAAAGGAAGAUUAAUACAAGAUGGCAUCAUGAGUCCACAUGUUCACAUGAUUAAAGGUAUUCCGGUAGACGAUGGGGAUGCGUUCCAUUAGAUAGUAGGCGGGGUAACGGCCCACCUAGUCUUCGAUGGAUAGGGGUUCUGAGAGGAAGGUCCCCCACAUUGGAACUGAGACACGGUCCAAACUCCUACGGGAGGCAGCAGUGAGGAAUAUUGGUCAAUGGGCGAGAGCCUGAACCAGCCAAGUAGCGUGAAGGAUGACUGCCCUAUGGGUUGUAAACUUCUUUUAUAAAGGAAUAAAGUCGGGUAUGUAUACCCGUUUGCAUGUACUUUAUGAAUAAGGAUCGGCUAACUCCGUGCCAGCAGCCGCGGUAAUACGGAGGAUCCGAGCGUUAUCCGGAUUUAUUGGGUUUAAAGGGAGCGUAGAUGGAUGUUUAAGUCAGUUGUGAAAGUUUGCGGCUCAACCGUAAAAUUGCAGUUGAUACUGGAUAUCUUGAGUGCAGUUGAGGCAGGCGGAAUUCGUGGUGUAGCGGUGAAAUGCUUAGAUAUCACGAAGAACUCCGAUUGCGAAGGCAGCCUGCUAAGCUGCAACUGACAUUGAGGCUCGAAAG
rnacentral:rRNA from 1 species